CAACCUUUUCAUCAAACUUGCUUGUACGAGUGGUUGCGAGCACUCCCUUCUAGUCGCCAAAGCUUUAACACAAUAUUUGGAGAAUGUCCAUACUGUAAUAAGCCAAUCACAGUUAAGAUGCCAUCCUAGCAAUCAAACUUAAAAGGCAUUGUUAUGAUGCUCAAUGCCAAAUUCCAUGUAAAAUGUUUACCAG